rnacentral:rRNA from 1 species
AUACGGAGGAUGCAAGCGUUAUCCGGAUUUAUUGGGUUUAUAGGGUGCGUAGGCGGAUGAUUAAGCGUGAGGUGAAAUGCCCCUGCUCAACAGUGGAACUGCCUCGCGAACUGGUUGUCUUGAAUGCUCCUGCCGUGGGAGGAAUGUGUGGUGUAGCGGUGCAAUGCAUAGAGAUCACACAGAACACCGAUUGCGAAGGCAUCUCACGAAGGGGUGAUUGACGCUGAGGCACGAAAGCGUGGGGAUCAAACAGGAUUAGAUACCCUGGUAGUCCACGCAGUAAACGAUGAUAACUAACCGCUGGGUCGUAGUGAUUCAGUGGCCAAGCGAAAGCGAUAAGUUAUCCACCUGGGGAGUACGACCGCAAGGUUGAAACUCAAAGGAAUUGACGGGG